AGUGAUCUAUAUCUGUGGUUAUCAAUGUUUAUCAAAAAAACUUUGUAGUCCAGCACAGACUUCGCGGAUAAAUCUGUUAAAAGUGAAUAUGUUAUGAAGACAUAAACGUAUUAACUUUUUUUAUUUGACAAAGGAAGUAGGAACAGUCUUUUAAACAAACUAGAAGUGUUGUCGAAACCGGUACAAGAUGGAGACGGAGCUAAGAGCACACUCCACUGUUUCGUAUGAUAUCAGUCCAAUACCUGUUGAUACUCGUAUGAGGACUGUUCUUGGUAUACGAGGUUUCUCAGACCCCGAUGCGCCGUUGACAACCGCUGAGAAAAUCAACGUUGGAAUUCUUAUAGCGUUCCUGUAUGCAGCAUUCAUUGUGGGAGCAGUUCUAACGGCUGUCUAUAACAGCUGAAUAUUGCUUCUUUUCUGUAACUGUUAUAUGUUAUCAACUAGCAUUGUGAUCUUCAUCAAAUCGUGUGAUUUAAACUUUUACAAGUGUUGCAAAUAACUUCUGUACUUUGAUAGUUUUCCCAUAUGUUUCAAAACAAUUCUAUCAUACCAUUGCUGUUAUACCUCUAAUCUUUCUGUAGAGAGGUCAAUACUUGAAGAUGACCGUGGAAAAUGUAUCUUUAUUUCUUGCGCCCAUUCAUUCAUGCUGAUAAAGUAUUCUUUUAGUCAUCAUUAUUCUGUUGAAAGGUACAGACGGGUGAGAUUUUAUUCUUUAAUAGUAACUACGUUUUCUUUAUGUGGAAUGUAAUGGUAUGAAAAGUGUUAUAUGUGUCGUUAUCACAAAAUUGAAUUUUGAAACAGCGGUUACACAUUUGUUCGUAAUCACUCACGCUUGAAGGAAUAGAAUUUAAAGACUAGUAUAAGUGGGUACGGGGCAAGAAGUUCUGUUAAAAUAUUUUAAGAAUUGUAUUUAGUGGAAGUGGCCUUUGUUUAAAACUUGUUGACAUAUUAACCAUUGCGAAGCAUCCUUUGUAAAUUACAUAUAUUGUUUUACGUCUUAGAAACAUUUUAAUAAUAAACCAUGACAAUAUUCUA